rnacentral:lncRNA from 1 species
AGGCGAAGUAUCAGGUGAAAAUGGCUAUUCCAUGAAAAUCUGGAAAUUUCUAUCCAACACUGUUGGAUCGAUGGCGGACGUCCUGGAUCAAUAGUGGGAUUGCUAAGUAUCCCACUUAAAUGCUAAUUAGCACAUAACCCCCUCUCUAUUAAUCAUCACGUGAAAAGAGCUUGACCCUUUCCUUAAUUCAUGGAUCAGAUCGUCUUCGUCAUCUUUAGCAUCGCUGCCAUACACUUUCCACCGGCGCAUAGCCCCUGACCUCAGCCGGCCGUGACCGGCCCUUCUCCCGUCGAAUGUGGGCGAAGAUGCGGCCGUUGAAUGGUUGUCGUGUGUUGGAGGAACUGCAGGUGCCGACUCACUAGUUCGUGGGGCAGCGGCCAAGCCGCCGGUCGCCAUCGCGAGGCGACGAGCGCCACCGUCGCCGAUGGGGGAGGGGCAACCACCAUCGUGUAGGGGGAGCUGCGUUUGCGGCGAAAGAGUCUGAGUCAAGGCCACGCGGGGAGAUGGCCGCGCCGCCGGACGACCGA